AUCCCUUCCGCCAAAAGGCCGAACAGAGGUACAGGGUGUUCAGUGGCUGUCGUCAGCUCGUGUCGUAAAUUGUUGGGUUAAGUCCCGCAACGAGCGCAACCCUCAUUCGAUGUUGCCAGCGUAAAGUCGGGCACUCUUCGAAAACUGCCCGUGCAAGCGGGAGGAAGGUGGGGAUGACGUCAAGUCAGCAAUGGCCCUUACGCCCUGGGCUUCACACAUGCUACAAUGGCCGUUAACAAAGAGAACCGAGACCGCGAGGUGGAGGAAAUCUCAAAAAUACGGCCUCAGUUCGGAUUGUAGUCUGCAACUCGACUACAUGAAGCCGGAAUCGCUAGUAACCGCAGGUCAGCGAAACUGCGGUGAAUACGUUCCCGGGCCUUGUACACACUGCCCGUCAAGUCACCUGAGUCUGUUGCACCCGAAGUCGAUGGCCCAACCGCAAGGAGGGAGUCGCCGAAGGUGUGACCGGUAAGGGGGACUAAGUCGUAACAAGGUAA
rnacentral:rRNA from 1 species